UUACAUUUGAAAAUCUUGUGGAAUAAAUAUAGAACAGAUCAGCUCUUGAAAAAGGAAUGUGUUUUUUAAAGAAUGUUUGAAAUUUUUUCAGUGACAAAUACUCUCUGAUCUUUGGGGUAGGAGGAGUAGUCAUUAAAAAGUGGAAGUAGGUUAAUGCACUUUGCUCCAGUUCUCACUUGCUGACUCUCCCCGAGUCUGAGUAAUGACUACAACUACACAAUACAUAACCCAAAUUUUCCACCUCCAGUGGGGCGUUUGUCCUAAGGCUGUUGCUAAACAACAAAAUUGCCUCAAGUGACUGUGCUCCUGUGCAAGAAAUUAUUUUCAACAGCCUGAAGCGUAACAGAAUGUUUUAUGUGACAAGUUUAAGAAAUGUUGCUUAUCAGAUGGCACAGGAGUCAGUUUCUACCUCUGCUUCCAAUCUGAUCUGUCUGGUUUGAAUAUUUGUAAAAAAAAAACAACAAAAAACACCACCAACAAAAAAAGUUCAUCAUAUUUUCUCUGCCUCUUCCAGAUACAGUGUCAAACUAAUACAUAAAUAAAGUUGCCUUUCAAAGCGUGGAUACCUUAAUGUUGACACCCUGCAGUUCUGCCUUAGACAUCUACCAGCUCCCCUGGAUUAGUACAAACGUUUAAAGAAAUGCAGAGUCAAACCCUGUCCAAGAAGAAGAACUGAACAAUUACAAUGGCAGAUUUCCCCGCUUUGCUUUCUCCUGCUCCCCACAAUCUACCGCCCAUGGAUUUCAUUUUCUCAAUCCGUGGAGAUUUUGCUUCCAGAUUCUCUUGGCAGCCUCCGCCCUUCUCUCUCUUUGUGAGUGUCCUGCACAUUCAGGCUGCGCUUUUAUAUUAGGAUUGAAUUGGAACACCACACUGCGGCCAUUGACGUCAGGUUUCCUGAGUGACUACUGAAAUGUGAGGAAGUAUGCCUCCCAUAGGGUGAGUAUUUCUAGCGAAGUCACCAGUGCAGGCUGGUCCACCUGCUAAGUGACCCCUUGGUCUCUGUCUGGCCUUCUGUGGAGUGGUAACA